UCCCUGGUGGCUCAGAGGUUAAAGCGUCUGCCUCCAAUGCAGGAGACCCAGGUUCAAUCCCUGGGUGGGGGA
rnacentral:tRNA from 1 species